rnacentral:rRNA from 1 species
AACGAACGUUGGCGGCGUGGAUUAGGCAUGCAAGUCGAACGCGAAAGUCGGACUUCGGUCUGGCGAGUAGAGUGGCGAACGGGUGAGUAUCGCGUGGGCAAUCUACCCUCGAGUGGGGGAAUAAACCAUUCUAACGAGUGGCUAAUUCCGCAUGUGACCGCUACCUCGCAUGGGGAAGCGGUGAAAGGUGGGGAUCUUCGGACCUGCCGCUCGUGGAGGAGCCCGCGUCCCAUUAGCUUGUUGGUGGGGUAACGGCCCACCAAGGCGACGAUGGGUAGCCGAUCUGAGAGGAUGACCGGCCACACUGGGACUGAGAUACGGCCCAGACUCCGUACGGGACGGCAGCAGUCGAGAGGCGUUCGGCAAGUCGGGGAAACCCUGACCGAGCGACGCCGCGUGCGGGAUGACGGCCUUCGGGUUGUAAACCGCUGUCAGGAGGGAAGAAUCCUUCCGGGUUAAUACCCCGGAAGUUGACGGUACCUCCAGAGGAAGCUCCGGCUAACUCCGUG